GAGGCAAGCGUUUUACAAUCAAGCCACCUUCCCAGCCCCAAGUGUUUUCUUGGUUUGUCCUUUUGAUUUACCAACCAAUAAAAUCUGUGUGUCACUCUCUCUCUCACCACAACUUAUACCAUGCCAACAACUGUUGCGAGAGUCACUGAGAAUCGACCAGUCAUAGGAACGCCAAGGACAUAGAUUCUCUGUUGCAGCUGGAUAGACUUGUGGGCAGGUGCAGCUCUGAAAGCCUGAACUGGCUGCUGUUCAGCUGAGUCCUUGCCACCCUGAGAUUUUCUCCCCAUCACUCCAUCACUGUGUGUAUAGAUCCAAUAUUCUAUUUUGCCUUAACCUUGCUUUCCUAGACUGUUUCAGCUCCAUGCAUGCAGAUAUUCCAGGAUGCCCCAUCUUGAAAUAUUCUUCCUUAAGCCCCCAGCCUGUUGAUGAUUCCUAAGAGCAGUCUAUGCCCACUUCUAACUAAAAGCUCCGGGUUCCAUUCCCAGCAUUCCACUGUGGACUCAUGGAAAGUCACGUGGGAUCACUUCUGCGUCCAUGGCUGCUAGCUCUAAUGGCGUCGCCAGGUCACUCUGCAUUCUUUUUUUAUUUAAGCUACCCAUCUUAGGGAUCAUUUGUCGUAGCAAUUGUGGAUAUCAAUAUAUUUUUCAAAUACCAUAAAAGGAAAGAGGCUACCUAAACUUUAUUACUCACUGAA
rnacentral:lncRNA from 1 species